rnacentral:lncRNA from 1 species
UGUUCUGCCCUUUGGCCUCACCCUGGCCUUACAUCGCUGAAGGCACUGUGUUCGGCUACAAGUCUGCCAGUCGGAGGCUCCUAGGGCCUCCUGGGGCUGGGCCUCGUCCAUUGUGGGGUAGGCUCCAGAGGAACAUGGGCGGAGCGAGUGACUGUGAGGGAUCUGUAGUGUCCCGAGAGCUGAGGCUGCAGUGUGGCUGAGCUGUGUCCUUGAACUAUUGCCUUUAAUUCCAGGGAAGACCUCGUGUUGAUGCGCCCUCCUCCAGGCUGAGCUCCUGUCAUGGCCCCACUCCUCCCCGACCCUCCAAGCCCCUGUUCUGCCCUUUGGCCUCACCCUGGCCUUACAUCGCUGAAGGCACUGUGUUCGGCUACAAGUCUGCCAGUCGGAGGCUCCUAGGGCCUCCUGGGGCUGGGCCUCGUCCAUUGUGGGGUAGGCUCCAGAGGAACAUGGGCGGAGGCAGCGUUUGAUGAGUCACCACCUGCCAAGACUGACUUUUUCUU